rnacentral:lncRNA from 1 species
GGAGCACACUACAGGGGCUCUUGGGACAGCCUCACUGGACUCAGGGUGGACAGGGCCAUCAGGAAUGAUCCCCAGUCUCAGGCUCAGAGAAUGACUUCUGCUGCCACCCCAUGCCCUCUGUGCCCCUCACCAGCCCCCGAUGACUCAGAAUCACAAGUCACUGCAGCCGCAAGUGCCCUGGAGAAUGUCCCAUCGCACUCCACCGUGGAACAGUUGGGGAAACUGAGGUGAGCAGGAGCCACACGGGGGACUCUCAACGGCCUGGAAGCGCGGCUCCCUGGGAGACACUGAGUGCAC